rnacentral:rRNA from 1 species
GAAACGACUGCUAAUACCCGAUGUGCCGCAAGGUGAAACCUAAUUGGCCUGAAGAAGAGCUUGCGUCUGAUUAGCUAGUUGGUAGGGUAAAAGCCUACCAAGGCGACGAUCAGUAGCUGGUCUGAGAGGAUGAGCAGCCACACUGGGACUGAGACACGGCCCAGACUCCUACGGGAGGCAGCAGUGGGGAAUUUUCCGCAAUGGGCGAAAGCCUGACGGAGCAACGCCGCGUGAGGGAGGAAGGUCUUUGGAUUGUAAACCUCUUUUCUCAAGGAAGAAGUUCUGACGGUACUUGAGGAAUCAGCCUCGGCUAACUCCGUGCCAGCAGCCGCGGUAAUACGGGGGAGGCAAGCGUUAUCCGGAAUUAUUGGGCGUAAAGCGUCCGCAGGUGGUCAGCCAAGUCUGCCGUCAAAUCAGGUUGCUUAACGACCUAAAGGCGGUGGAAACUGGCAGACUAGAGAGCAGUAGGGGUAGCAGGAAUUCCCAGUGUAGCGGUGAAAUGCGUA